UACGAGGGGUGCUAACGUUAUUCGGAUUUAUUGGGCGUAAAGGGUGCGUAGGUGGCAAUGUAAGUCUGUUGUUAAAUUUUCCGGCCUAACUGGAAACAUGCGAUGGAUACUGCAUUACUAGAGGAUGGGAGAGAGAAGUGGAAUUCUUGGAGUAGCGGUAAAAUGCGUAGAUCUCAAGAGGAACACCAAUGGCGAAGGCAGCUUCUUGGCCCCAAUCCUGACACUGGAGGCACGGAAAAGCGUGGGGGA
rnacentral:rRNA from 1 species